rnacentral:rRNA from 1 species
GCUUGACAUGCAGGUGGUACGAACCUGAAAGGGCGAGGACCAUAUCUUCGGAUGUGGAGCCUGCACAGGUGCUGCAUGGCUGUCGCCAGCNGUGUCGUGAGAUGUUGGGUUAAGUCCCGCAACGAGCGCAACCCCUGCGCCUAGUUGCCAUCAGUUAGGCUGGGCACUCUAGGCGGACUGCCGGCGACAAGUCGGAGGAAGGNGGGGAUGACGNCANGUCAUNAUGGCCUUUAAGCCCAGGGCGACACACGUGCUACAAUGGNCAGCACAGAGGGCUGCAAGUCCGCGAGGGCNAGCNAAUCCCUUAAAGCUGG